GUCACGGCCACAUCCCCAGUGGCUGACACUUGGGGGCGCUCAGUAAAUCGAGCAGGACAGAUUCUGGCACUAACUUCAGACCAGUUCUCCGAGUUAGGAGACGGAGCUCGUCCACGACGACAGAGCGAGUUCGGGUCCUACCGCCCCCCGCGCGAACCGAGACGCCCCAGCGAGUGGAAGCCCAUCGGCGAACCCAGGGCUGGUCCCAGGAGUCCCGCCUCGGAGAAGGUAGCUCCAGCUGCUGCGGGCGCCCGGCACCCAAUCCCCGGGGUGGGCACGCCACCAGCACGGACUGGGGUCGGGGGCCUGGCUGCGGAAGAGCCCUCUGGCUGUGGGAACCGGGUCCCCGAACCGGUGCGGAGACCCGAAGGGAGGUGCAGACGGGGGACAGCAGCGGCAGGAGGGGAGAACCCCUGGCGAGCGCCCGACCCUCGAGCGCCGCGAAGUCCGCGGGGCGCGCUCUUCAGGGUGUGCGGCUGCGGUUCCGUGCGCGCCCCGUUUGCCGAGCGCGCUCCCGGGUCCCUUGGAGAGCGCCGGGGGUGCAGAAGGUGCGCUCCCGGGGACUGUGAGCGCGGCGUCGGGAUCGCAGAGCUGCCCGCAAACUUUAUCCGGCAAGUUCUAGGGGUGCGCGGCCAACUUUGCACGGGCGCCUUUCCCCCGGGCGGUGAACGCGGACAGCGUGCGGACCCGGCCACCAGUUUUGCAGAGGGCGCCCUCCAGGGGCGGUGCGCGCCGGCCGCGCGAGCAGCAGGCGUCGCCCGCUGUCCGGCCUGCCCGGGGCUGCCCCGCGCGACUCCGCCCCCUGCCACGCCGGGGCUUUUACUUUCGCUUUCGUUUGGGCGGCCUCAGACCCUCAGCGCCGAGGGACCGCGACGGACGCCAGCGCUGGCCGCCCCGCCGCCCGCCGCGCCGGGGCCUGGUAACUUCCGCCCCCGCCCCCGCUUGCGCCCCUCCGGUCAGCGUGCGCUCCUUCCCUCCCUCCACAACCGCCCUCCCACCUGGCCCUGCUCCCCCUCUCAUCCCCCCAGCCGGCCCGCAACGAAACUUUGGGGAAAGAAAGGGCCCUCGCGCCCCCCGCCCCCCUCCGGCAUCGCUGGCUCGGCUCAGCGCGCCCUCCCUUCCCCGCUAACCAGCUGGGACUGCCGGGCAGUUCGGGCUGUUCGGGAUUUGGAAAAAGGGGGCGUGGAUUGA
rnacentral:lncRNA from 1 species